UUCAAAGUUCGCACUAUUUAUAUCACAGGAUGGUACAAAUGGAGAAGUAAAAAAUAAGGCCUGGAGUUAUACCCAAAUAAUUUAUGCAGCCCAAUGAAGUGUAUCGCCUUGAGCUCCAUUAUUUAGGCCAGAUCUCAUGAGAGGUGUUGUGUCAAUUGCAUUGGCAUACAAUAAGCAUGGACAGUAGUACCGGAUCUGGUUGGAGAUUGACUCGCAUGGGGCACCGGUGACGGAGGCGUAGACAUGGACGAUGACGGUGCUUCACCAAGGGCAGAUGUGUGCGGCUCAGUGGAGAGACUUGUUGUGGAUGUAUGUUGGGAUGCGGAUGAGAGAUCGUGAGGGAGGAUGGAGGAGAGGUGAAAGUAAUGGUAUCAGACAAUAUAAGGCAGAAUCGUGAGAGAAAGGAAACUACUAUCGCGAUAAUUGGGGACUCCUGAUUGCUAUCAUCCCCGGAUUUUUCUGAGGCCCCAGAAUCUUAUCUUGUGCUUUUUUUAUACUCACACAAAAUUAUUGGAGUUAUUUUCGUGGUACAUUUUAUAUGCAUAAAUAUUGUGAUUGGCCCACCUUCCUUCUGUAACCGUGGGCUUAAUAAUUCAGAAAAGGCACACCCUUUUAAUAUUUGAGAAACUAAUUUUUUCUGUUUCAUUUGAA